GACGAACGCUGGCGGCGUGCCUAAUACAUGCAAGUCGAACGCAGUGGGGACGGGUGAGUAACACGUGGGUAACCUCCCAUCAGAGGGGAUAACACUUGGAAACAGGUGCUAAACCGAUACUGAUGGAUGGACCCGCGGUGCAUUAGCUAGUUGGUGAGGUAACGGCUCACCAAGGCCACGAUGCAUAGCCGACCUUAGAGGGUGAUCGGCCAAACUGGGACUGAGACACGGCCCAGACUCCGACGGGAGGCAGCAGGAGGGAAUCGUCGGGAAUGGACGAAAGUCUGAACGAGCAACGCCGCGGGAGUGAAGAAGGUUUUCGGGUCGGAAAACUCUUUUGUUAGAGAAGCGGUAUCUUACCAGAAAGCCCCGGCUAACUACGUGCCAGCAGCCGCGGUAAUAC
rnacentral:rRNA from 1 species